rnacentral:rRNA from 1 species
UACGUAGGGUGCAAGCGUUGUCCGGAAUUAUUGGGCGUAAAGAGCUCGUAGGCGGUGUGUCGCGUCGGCCGUGAAAACCUGCAGCUUAACUGUGGGCUUGCGGUCGAUACGGGCAUCACUGGAGUUCGGCAGGGGAGACUGGAAUUCCUGUGUAGCGGUGAAAUGCGCAGAUAUCAGGAGGAACACCGGUGGCGAAGGCGGGUCUCUGGGCCGAUACUGACGCUGAGGAGCGAAAGCGUGGGGAGCGAACAGG